GAUGAAACUUUGACAGAACCCUUCGGGGCGAAGACAAAGUGGAUUAGCGGCGGACGGGUGAGUAACACGUGAGUAACCUGCCUUAGACAUUGGGAUAGCCUCGGGAAACCGGGAUUAAUACCAAAUAAAAUCAUAAUGACACAUGUCAUAACGAUCAAAACUCCGGUGGUCUAAGAUGGACUCGCGUCCCAUUAGCUAGUUGGUAGAGUAAAAGCCUACCAAGGCGACGAUGGGUAGCCGGCCUGAGAGGGUGAACGGCCACAUUGGAACUGAGAAACGGUCCAAACUCCUACGGGAGGCAGCAGUGGGGAAUAUUGCACAAUGGAGGGAACUCUGAUGCAGCGACGCCGCGUGAACGAAGAAGGCUUUCGAGUCGUAAAGUUCUUUUAUAUGGGAAGAUAAUGACGGUACCAUAAGAAAAAGCCCCGGCUAACUACGUGCCAGCAGCCGCGGUAAUACGUAGGGGGCUAGCGUUGUCCGGAAUCACUGGGCGUAAAGGGUUCGCAGGCGGAAAUGCAAGUCAGAUGUAAAAGGCAGUAGCUUAACUACUGUAAGCAUUUGAAACUGCAUAUCUUGAGAAGAGUAGAGGUAAGUGGAAUUUUUAGUGUAGCGGUGAAAUGCGUAGAUAUUAAAAAGAAUACCGGUGGCGAAGGCGACUUACUGGGCUCAUUCUGACGCUGAG
rnacentral:rRNA from 2 species